rnacentral:rRNA from 1 species
CCGGGAAACCGGGGCUAAUACCGGAUGCUUGAUUGAACCGCAUGGUUCAAUUAUAAAAGGUGGCUUUUAGCUACCACUUACAGAUGGACCCGCGGCGCAUUAGCUAGUUGGUGAGGUAACGGCUCACCAAGGCAACGAUGCGUAGCCGACCUGAGAGGGUGAUCGGCCACACUGGGACUGAGACACGGCCCAGACUCCUACGGGAGGCAGCAGUAGGGAAUCUUCCGCAAUGGACGAAAGUCUGACGGAGCAACGCCGCGUGAGUGAUGAAGGUUUUCGGAUCGUAAAACUCUGUUGUUAGGGAAGAACAAAUACCGUUCCAAUAGGGCGGUACCUUGACGGUACCUAACCAGAAAGCCACGGCUAA